rnacentral:rRNA from 1 species
UACGUAGGGUCCGAGCGUUGUCCGGAAUUACUGGGCGUAAAGAGCUCGUAGGUGGUUUGUCGCGUUGUUCGUGAAAACUCACAGCUUAACUGUGGGCGUGCGGGCGAUACGGGCAGACUUGAGUACUGCAGGGGAGACUGGAAGUUCCUGGUGUAGCGGUGGAAUGCGCAGAUAUCAGGAGGAACACCCGGUGGCGAAGGCGGGUCUCUGGGCAGUAACUG